UGCUUGCACUGAUCCGAUCGAGUGGCGGACGGGUGAGUAACGCGUGGGUAACCUGCCUCAUACAGGGGAAUAACAGUUGGAAACGGCUGCUAAAACCGCAUAAGCACACGGUAUCGCAUGAUCCAGUGUGAAAAACUCCGGUGGUACAGGAUGGACCCGCGUCUGAUUAGCUAGUUGGUGAGGUAACGGCUCACCAAGGCGACGAUCAGUAGCCGGCCUGAGAGGGCGGACGGCCACAUUGGGACUGAGACACGGUCCAUACUCC
rnacentral:rRNA from 1 species